UACGAAGGGGGCUAGCGUUGCUCGGAAUUACUGGGCGUAAAGGGCGCAUAGGCGGAUAUUUAAGUCAGGGGUGAAAGCCCGGGGCUCAACCUCGGAAUUGCCUUUGAUACUGGAUAUCUUGAGUUCGGGAGAGGUGAGUGGAAUGCCGAGUGUAGAGGUGAAAUUCGUAGAUAUUCGGCGGAACACCAGUGGCGAAGGCGACUCACUGGCCCGAUACUGACGCUGAGGCGCGAAAGCGUGGGGAGCAAACAGG
rnacentral:rRNA from 1 species